rnacentral:rRNA from 1 species
AUGUCGACAAGCAGUGGCAAGCCGCUCCUCGUCGUGAUCCGCCGGAGCAAGCUCUCCGUAGGAGAUGAGGGCCGCCGCAUCUGCACAGAGUUCAAGCAGGCCAAGUACCCCUUCAAGUGGAGAAGGUACAUGUGCGCUAGGUGUGGGGUGCUCCGUGAGGAGCACAACGCCUGCAAGAGCAAGCUCUCCGCAGGAGAUGGGGGCAAGCACGACACCAGCAAGAGCAAGCUCCCUGCAGGAGAUAAGGGUGAGCAAUCCACUGACAAGUACAAGCUCUCUGCAGAAGAUGAAGGUGAGCGCAGCGCCAACAAGAGUAAGAUAUCUGCAGGAGAGGAGGGCGAGCGUUUCUGCACCGAGUUCAAGCAGGCCAAGUACCCCUUCAAGUGGAGAAAGUACAUGUGUGCCAGGUGCGGGGUGCUCCGUAGCGAGCAUGGCGUCAGCAAGGCCAAGGCCAAAGUGGACGACGACACGGAGAAUAUCAAGGAGGAGGACCUGCCGCCACGCAAGAGGCUCAUUCUCAGGUUCAAACGGUCACAGGCCCUUGCUGCUGCUGCUUCUGCCACAUCCAGGGAGAAGGAGAACAAGGAGGGGGAGCUAGAGGAAGGGGAGAUCAACUGGAGCCCCGGCGCGACGAUCGCCAAGGGGAAGAGAGCCCCAAGGAGAAAGCGCUAG